rnacentral:rRNA from 1 species
UACGUAGGGGGCAAGCGUUGUCCGGAAUCAUUGGGCGUAAAGCGCGUGUAGGCGGCUGGCUAAGUCCGCUCUGAAAGCCCGGGGCUCAACCACGGGAGGCGGGUGGAUACUGUCAAGCUCGAGUCCGGAAGAGGCGAGUGGAAUUCCUGGUGUAGCGGUGAAAUGCGCAGAUAUCAGGAGGAAUACCGAUUGCGAAGGCAGCUCGCUGGGACGUAACUGACGCUGAGACGCGAAAGCGUGGGGAGCAAACAGG